GACGAACGCUGGCGGCGUGCCUAAUACAUGCAAGUCGAGCGAAUCAAUGGGAGCUUGCUCCCUGAGAUUAGCGGCGGACGGGUGAGUAACACGUGGGUAACCUGCCUGUAAGACUGGGAUAACUUCGGGAAACCGGAGCUAAUACCGGAUAAUUUCUUUUCUCGCAUGAGGAAAGAUGGAAAGAUGGUUCUGCUAUCACUUACAGAUGGACCCGCGGCGCAUUAGCUAGUUGGUGAGGUAACGGCUCACCAAGGCGACGAUGCGUAGCCGACCUGAGAGGGUGAUCGGCCACACUGGGACUGAGACACGGCCCAGACUCCUACGGGAGGCAGCAGUAGGGGAUCUUCCGCAAUGGACGAAAGUCUGACGGAGCAACGCCGCGUGAGCGAAGAAGGCCUUCGGGUCGUAAAGCUCUGUUGUUAGGGAAGAACAAGUAUCGGAGUAACUGCCGGUACCUUGACGGUACCUAACCAGAAAGCCACGGCUAACUACGUGCCAGCCGCCGCCGUAAUAC
rnacentral:rRNA from 1 species